UUUGAUUUGUUUGGGAGGUUUAACUUCGUUUUAGGAACCGAUUAUAGAGAUUUGGUAUGUUUUAUAUCAAAAUAAACUAAGAUUUUAGAAUGCAACGUCAAUUGUGUGUGUGUGUGUUUUUAAUGUCAAUUGUGUCUCUUUACAAGCACAAAUGGCUUACAUUGAUCUUUCAAAACAAGCAAAUUAUGAAAGGUCCAAUUGAAUUUUUUUUUGUCAAAAUGAAGAACUUAAAACCACUUGGAGAUCCAAACUGGUGACUUAGCGUUUACGUGAGCACUGUAUUAACUUGUAUGCGCUUUUAUGUUGUCUACAUAUAGAUAAAUGAGAUUGUGAACCUGUUGAGAAAUAUUAUAUACUUUUUGAAUUCCUCAUGAACUGAGAAAGUAUGCUAUCAAUAUGGUUCAGAUAUCAGCUUCACUAACUCCGACACUAUU